AUCCAGCUGACGAGUCACAAGUAGGACUAAAUGCGCGUUCUGGAU
rnacentral:hammerhead_ribozyme from 1 species